GGAGAAAAAUAAAUCUCAAAGGGUAAGGAGUGCUGGUGUGGGGUAAUGAGAGAAGAUAUGACUAAAAGAUGAGAUCUGAGUGAUGACAUGGAACAGCUCAGAGUGUGUUCCAUUUGGAUUUCUGGAGGAAGAGUUUCCAGACCCAGGAAGCAGCAUGUGCAAAGGUCCUCAGAUAGGUACAUGCCUGGAGUGUUGGAGGCUGGCAGCAGGAGGUAAAGAGAGGGCACCAGGGGCAUUGCCGAUGGCCCCAGGCUUGGGUGCUUGUCCCCAUGUCUCUCAAGAAGGGACGAGAAAUCCGUCGCCACCUCAGGGAAGAGCCUGGGAGAUGGUUUAGAAAUGUCCCAUCAGACCUGAAGCCUGUGGGUCCAGAAGACACAUUUGAUCGGAUCCAACCUUUGGAAGAUCUGCUUGGAAAUUUCCCACUUCGUGUCCUGAGUCCAGGAACCCAGCAGUGGAAUUUUGUAGUUGGCUGUUGAACUUUACUUUGGAUGCUGCAAGAACCCACCAUCCUUCUGACAAAUUUGCCUUCUGGCUUGCGUUAGAGAGCCCAAGGCUAUUUCUGUCGCCUGCCACACAGAAAGAACCUUGACUAACGUGCAAGGGAGGGAGAUCCUGAUGUGAGAUUUCAAAUCGCUGGGAAAGCUUCUGGAGGAAACACGGCGCAGGACGACGGUUUGGUGACAGCAGCUUUUAUUUUCCUUCCUUGACAGAUGGCAGGGAAUGUUGACAAGAUGGCUCUGAGGCACAGAUGAGAGAGACUGAGGCUUAUGUAAAAGACACAGGUGUAUCCCUAGGGCUCAGGUCAGGAGAUGGAGACCACACCAAUUACUGCCACAGAGAGAAUUCUAUAUAUAUACGCAUCCACAUGCAGAACCCCUAAUCAGAUUUUAGAGAACAACAAAGGCAGAAAAGGAGGCACUGAGUGUCUAAGAUUAUUAAAAUUCAGAGCAUGACAGAGGGAACCCAAAGCUUAAGAGGGGGGCUGGCUGGCUGUUGUUGAUCCCUGAGGGGGCAUAAUGAGGCGAGGACUCCAAGUAGGAACCAACUGCUGCUCUUGGAAGAACUUGCCCCUUGCAGGUUAAGUUCAGGGCAGAUGUAACAGUGACAGAAAACCUAAAGGAUCACUUGCUCUCCUGCCUCCCUCCUAGCACCCCCCGUUGGCAGAGUCAGACAGGGAACAGAAGAAAGAGGGUGGGCUUGAAUGCCAGACAACACCCCCUCCCAAGGAUAUCAGAAUGCAUGUGACUGGGAGUUCCUGUUGUGGCUCAGAGGAGUUGCAAAUCCAACUGGUAUCCGCGAGGAUGCAGGUUCAAUCCCUGGCCUCACUCAGUGGGUUAAGGAUCCAGUGCUCCCACAAGCUGCAGUGUAGGUUAUAGAUAAGGCUCAAAUCCGGAGUUGCUAUAGCUAUGGUGUAGGCUGGCAGCUGCAGCACCAUUUUUUUUUUUUAAUUUUCCCACUGUACAGCAAGGGAAUCAA
rnacentral:lncRNA from 1 species